AGAGUUUGAUCCUGGCUCAGGACGAACGCUGGCGGCGUGCUUAACACAUGCAAGUCGAACGGUGAAGCGCUUUCCUUUUUGGUUGGUGUGGAUGAGUGGCGAACGGGUGAGUAACACGUGAGUAACCUGCCCCCUUCUUCUGGAUAACCGCAUGAAAGUGUGGCUAAUACGGGAUAUUCUGUGCCUGCUGCAUGGUGGGUGUGGGAAAGAUUGUGCCUUUGGGUGUUUUCGGUGGGGGAUGGGCUCGCGGCCUAUCAGCUUGUUGGUGGGGUGAUGGCCUACCAAGGCGGUGACGGGUAGCCGGCCUGAGAGGGUGGACGGUCACACUGGGACUGAGACACGGCCCAGACUCCUACGGGAGGCAGCAGUGGGGAAUAUUGCACAAUGGGCGCAAGCCUGAUGCAGCGACGCCGCGUGAGGGAUGGAGGCCUUCGGGUUGUGAACCUCUUUCGCCAGUGAAGAAGGUCCUGCUCUUUGUGGUGGGGUUGACGGUAGCUGGGUUAAUGAAGCGCCGGCUAACUACGUGCCAGCAGCCGCGGUAAUACGUAGGGCGCGAGCGUUGUCCGGAAUUAUUGGGCGUAAAGAGCUCGUAGGCGGCUGGUCGCGUCUGUCGUGAAAUCCUCUGGCUUAACUGGGGGCUUGCGGUGGGUACGGGCCGGCUUGAGUGCGGUAGGGGAGACUGGAACUCCUGGUGUAGCGGUGGAAUGCGCAGAUAUCAGGAAGAACACCGGUGGCGAAGGCGGGUCUCUGGGCCGUUACUGACGCUGAGGAGCGAAAGCGUGGGGAGCGAACAGGAUUAGAUACCCUGGUAGUCCACGCUGUAAACGUUGGGCACUAGGUGUGGGGGGCCUUUUCCGGGUUUUCCGCGCCGUAGCUAACGCAUUAAGUGCCCCGCCUGGGGAGUACGGCCGCAAGGCUAAAACUCAAAGGAAUUGACGGGGGC
rnacentral:rRNA from 1 species